rnacentral:misc_RNA from 1 species
AAAAAUCAGAAAUUAUUCAACCUUCUUUUUUCAAUCCUGUUACCAUUUUCAACAACUCUGUUGAAUUUGUUUGUUCUCCUUCAUGCUUUGAACGAUUUGAUUUUUUUUAUUAUACGAAAAAAAUUAUGGCAACAGAGAUUUUGCGGCCACAGGAUAUAUUAACUCAAUGGUUCAGAGUUUCACCGUCGGUGUGUUAUCGUCGGAGAAAUA